GUACACCCAGAUCUUCCGGGUCAAGGGUUCCUUCUGCUGUUCUGGGCCUCUAGGUAUUUUCAUCUUGGACCAGCUGCCAGGUCAACUCUGCUGGUGCUUCCGUCACCUACCAUCACCAAGCUCCUGCCAUGCGGCGGUCCUACUCCUCAUCCAGUCUUCACAACAAUCCUCUAAGACAGGUCCCAACCUGUCCUCUCCUAUGGAUGAGAAGAACGAGGUCCAGAGAAGAGGAAAACACUCGAACGUACACUCCUGCCUCACGGCCUCUCGCUACUCAAUGUGUGGUCUGUGGACCAGCAGCAGCAGCAGCAUCUGGAGUUUCCCAGGAAUAUGGGGUCUCAGGCCCCAGCCAGACUCACUGCAUCGGAGUCUGCACGUUAACAAAAUUGCCAGGUGACUUAUGUGCAGGGGCAAGUUUGAGAACUGGG
rnacentral:lncRNA from 1 species